GGGGGUGACACAAUGACAGAGUGAGGGAGGGUGUGACUAGUGACAGAGUGAGGGAGGGUGUGACUAGUGACACAGUGAGGGAGUGAAUGUGUGACUAGUGACAAAGUGAGGGAGGGGUGACUAGAGACGGGGGGGAGACUAUUGAGGGAGGGGGUGACUAGUGACAGAGGGAGGGAGAUGGUGACUGUCACUAGUCACCCCAUCCCUCCCUCUGUCACUAGUCACUCCCUCCCUAACUCUGUCACUAGUCAUCCCCUCACUCUGUCACUAGUCACCCACCCCAUCCCUCCCUCUGUCACUGUCACCCCAUCCCUCCCUCUGUCACCCCAUCCCUCACUCUGUCACCAGUCCCCCCCUUCCCUCUGUCACUAGUCACCCUC